rnacentral:rRNA from 1 species
ACGGGUGAGUAAUGCCUAGGAAUCUGCCUGGUAGUGGGGGACAACGUUUCGAAAGGAACGCUAAUACCGCAUACGUCCUACGGGAGAAAGCAGGGGACCUUCGGGCCUUGCGCUAUCAGAUGAGCCUAGGUUGGAUUAGCUAGUUGGUGAGGUAAUGGCUCACCAAGGCGACGAUCCGUAACUGGUCUGAGAGGACGAUCAGUCACACUGGAACUGAGACACGGUCCAGACUCCUACGGGAGGCAGCAGUGGGGAAUAUUGGACAAUGGGCGAAAGCCUGAUCCAGCCAUGCCGCGUGUGUGAAGAAGGUCUUCGGAUUGUAAAGCACUUUAAGUUGGGAGGAAGGGUUGUAGAUUAAUACUCUGCAAUUUUGACGUUACCGACAGAAUAAGCACCGGCUAACUCUGUGCCAGCAGCCGCGGUAAUACAGAGGGUGCAAGCGUUAAUCGGAAUUACUGGGCGUAAAGCGCGCGUAGGUGGUUUGUUAAGUUGGAUGUGAAAUCCCCGGGCUCAACCUGGGAACUGCAUCCAAAACUGGCAAGCUAGAGUAUGGUAGAGGGUGGUGGAAUUUCCUGUGUAGCGGU